UAGAGGAAGUAAAAGUCGUAACAAGGUUUCCGUAGGUGAACCUGCGGAAGGAUCAUUAUUGAAUAAACUUGGUUGGGCUGUUGCUGGCUCUUAGGAGCAUGUGCACGCUCACUCCAUUUUUAACCACCUGUGCACCUUGUGUAGAUCUAAAUACUUGGAAUUGCUACUAUUAGCAUGCCCUUGUAUUCAGGUCUAUGUUUUCCAUAUACUCCAUAAAGAACGUAUUAGAAUGUUGUGAAUAGGCCUUUUUGUGCCUUUUAAAACAAUUAAAACAACUUUCAACAACGGAUCUCUUGGCUCUCGCAUCGAUGAAGAACGCAGCGAAAUGCGAUAAGUAAUGUGAAUUGCAGAAUUCAGUGAAUCAUCGAAUCUUUGAACGCACCUUGCGCUCCUUGGUAUUCCGAGGAGCAUGCCUGUUUGAGAGUCAUGAAAUUCUCAACCUAUCUUGCUUUCACAAGUUAAGUUAGGCUUGGAUUUGGAGGUUGCUGGUUUCUCAGAAAUCAGCUCUUCUUAAAUGUAUUAGCAGAACCUUUGCUGAUUGUCUUUGGUAUGAUAAUUAUCUAUACCAUAGAAAAUUGGCGUCCUUCUUGGGAAGGUUUCGCUUCUAAUUGUCUAUUAAGACACUUUUGACAAUUUGACCUCAAAUCAGGUAG
rnacentral:rRNA from 1 species